GAUGAACGCUGGCGGCGUGCCUAAUACAUGCAAGUCGAGCGACCAGACGAGGAGCUUGCUCCUCUGACGUUAGCGGCGGACGGGUGAGUAACACGUGGAUAACCUACCUAUAAGACUGGGAUAACUUCGGGAAACCGGAGCUAAUACCGGAUAAUAUAUUGAACCGCAUGGUUCAAUAGUGAAAGACGGUUUUGCUGUCACUUAUAGAUGGAUCCGCGCCGCAUUAGCUAGUUGGUAAGGUAACGGCUUACCAAGGCGACGAUGCGUAGCCGACCUGAGAGGAUGAUCGGCCACACUGGAACUGAGACACGGUCCAGACUCCUACGGGAGGCAGCAGUAGGGAAUCUUCCGCAAUGGGCGAAAGCCUGACGGAGCAACGCCGCGUGAGUGAUGAAGGUCUUCGGAUCGUAAAACUCUGUUAUUAGGGAAGAACAAAUGUGUAAGUAACUAUGCACGUCUUGACGGUACCUAAUCAGAAAGCCACGGCUAACUACGUG
rnacentral:rRNA from 1 species